rnacentral:rRNA from 1 species
UCCUACGGGAGGCAGCAGCAAGGAAUUUUGCGCAAUGGGCGAAAGCCUGACGCAGCGACGCCACGUGGGGGAGGACAGCCCUAGGGUUGUAAACCCCUUUUCUUGGUGAAGAGGAAGGACGGUAGCCAAGGAAUAAGCCUCGGCUAACUACGUGCCAGCAGCCGCGGUAAUACGUAGGAGGCGAGCGUUAUCCGGAAUUACUGGGCGUAAAGAGCGCGUAGGCGGCCCUUUAAGUUGGUAGUGAAAUCUCCCGGCUCAACCGAGAGGGGUCUAUCAAUACUGAGGGGCUCGAGGGCAGCAGAGGAAGGUGGAAUUCCCAGUGUAGCGGUGAAAUGCGUAGAUAUUGGGAGGAACACCAGUGGCGAAGGCGACCUUCUGGGCUGUCUCUGACGCUGAGGCGCGAAAGCGUGGGGAGCGAAGAGGAUUAGAUACCCUCGUAGUCCACGCCCUAAACGGUGGAUACUAGGUAUAGGAGGUAUCGACCCUUUCUGUGCCGAAGCUAACGCUUUAAGUAUCCCGCCUGGGGACAACGGCCGCAAGGCUACAACUCAAAUGAAUUGACGG